rnacentral:rRNA from 1 species
UACGUAGGGUGCAAGCGUUGUCCGGAAUUAUUGGGCGUAAAGAGCUCGUAGGCGGCUUGUCGCGUCGUGUGUGAAAUCUCAGGGCUCAACUCUGACAUUGCAUACGAUACGGGCAGGCUUGAGUUCGGUAGGGGAGACUGGAAUUCCUGGUGUAGCGGUGAAAUGCGCAGAUAUCAGGAGGAACACCGAUGGCGAAGGCAGGUCUCUGGGCCACUACUGACGCUGAGAAGCGAAAGCAUGGGGAGCGAACAGG